rnacentral:rRNA from 1 species
AGGACGAACGCUGGCGGCGUGCCUAACACAUGCAAGUGGAGCGACGAACCAGGGCUUGCCCUGGGGCAGAGCCGCGAACGGGUGAGUAACACGUGGGUUACCUGCCCCGAUGACUGGGACAACCCGAGGAAACUCGGGCUAAUAUCGGAUGUGCCCGCAAGGGGAAAGGAAGCUUCGGCCUCCGCAUCGGGAUGGGCCCGCGGCCCAUUAGCUUGUUGGUGGGGUAAUGGCCUACCAAGGCGGCGAUGGGUAGCUGGUCUGAGAGGACGAUCAGCCACACUGGGACUGAGACACGGCCCAGACUCCUACGGGAGGCAGCAGUGGGGAAUCUUGCGCAAUGCGCGAAAGCGUGACGCAGCAACGCCGCGUGGGGGAAGAAGGCUUUCGGGUUGUAAACCCCUUUCAGUUGGGACGAAGCUCCGUCGGUGAACAGCCGGCUGGAGUGACGGUACCUUCAGAAGAAGCACCGGCUAACUACGUGCCAGCAGCCGCGGU